rnacentral:rRNA from 1 species
UACAUGGGGUGCAAACGUUGCUCGGAAUUAUUGGGCGUAAAGCGCGCGUAGGCGGUUACUUAAGUCGGAUGUGAAAGCCCUCGGCUUAACUGAGGAAGUGCACCCGAAACUGAGUAGCUAGAGUACGAAAGAGGGUCGCGGAAUUCCCGGUGUAGAGGUGAAAUUCGUAGAUAUCAGGAGGAACACCGAUGGCGAAGGCAGCUCGCUGGGACGGUACUGACGCUGAGACGCGAAAGCGUGGGGAGCAAACAGG